CUUAGCGACCCCAUGGACUGCAGCCUACCAGGCUCCUCCGUCCAUGGGAUUUUCUAGGCAAAAGUACUGGAGUGGGAUGCCAUUGCCUUCUCCAUAACAAGGGUACAUCGCUAAUAAUUCUUUCUAAGCAUCAACCCUCCCUCUCAGGCUCCAAACUAAACCACUCAGUCACUGAUUGGCUGGGAGGCAGGCCCGUGCAGUCGCUGAUUGGCUGCCGGGUAUACUCUUACGUCACAGGCUCAAGAGGCACGCAGCCAGGAUCUAGGAUGGUUCCCACACAGCCUUCUUUUUGUAGAUACUUAGGUCGUCGUGGGGCCUCACGAGGCCUCAUGGGGCUGCACUCCGGCUGUUGGCUCUCCUGUCAGUUGUUGAGUGGAGAACCUGCUCUGGCACUGGCCGAACUGGGCUUCCAUGAGAGUCGGGCAUCUCUGUCAGUCACUGUGACCCUUGGACAGUUAGGCGCCGGAGGUGGGUGAGGCCUCCCAAGGUGGCUGUCUGGCCUGAGAGGCCCCCGGGGCCAAUUCUGGAUCAGGUUGGGAGGCUCCCUGAGAGCCAGCUCACCAGCUAGUCGGUCAGUUCACCGGUGCCUGUCUCUGUAUUCGUCAGCCUGCCACCAAGUGGGUCACCCGGUCAGCCUGAAGAGCAGCCAGGGGAUCACCAAUCUGCCAAUAAGACCGCUCCUAAGUAGGUCAGUCAUCCAAAAGUCAGUCCUGCCCUUACCAAGUCUGGAAAGGUCGCUGCAUCUCUUGCACUCUGCUUCGGAAAUAUACAGACAGAGGUGUGCUGAGGUCAAAGAACCGUCUGGGGCCCUUGGAACCAGAGACAAAGGUAAAAUUGAGAGGAGAGGUGACGGAUGAAGGGAAAUAGAAGGAAAGGGGAAAAGAGGGUGCAUGAGGAGUCACUCAACUCACCUCUAAAGGCUGGCAGAGAGGAGCAAGAAGAAAUCAAUUUUAGAGCUUGGCUAAUCAUUACAUCUCAAGCAAUCAAGCUCACUCAUAUUAUAGAUGAAGAAAUAAAAGGAGGGACUUCCCUUGUGUUCCAGUGGCUAAGACUCUGUGCUCCCAAUGGAGGGAGGCUCCGUUUGAUCCCUGGGCAGGGAACUAGAUCCCAUGAGCCGCAACUAAGAUGCCAUGGAGUCAAAUAGA